GAUGAACGCUAGCGGCAGGCCUAACACAUGCAAGUCGAACGGUAACAGGUGUAGCAAUACAUGCUGACGAGUGGCGCACGGGUGCGUAACGCGUAUGCAAUCUACCUCUAACUGGGAAAUAGCCCGGGGAAACUCGGAUUAAUGUCCCAUAAUAUCAUAGUAUCGCAUGAUACAUUGAUUAAAGCUUUGGCGGUUAGAGAUGAGCAUGCGUCCUAUUAGCUAGUUGGUGGGGUAACGGCUCACCAAGGCUACGAUAGGUAGGGGUUCUGAGAGGAUGAUCCCCCACACUGGUACUGAGACACGGACCAGACUCCUACGGGAGGCAGCAGUGAGGAAUAUUGGGCAAUGGACGCAAGUCUGACCCAGCCAUGCCGCGUGCAGGAUGACGGCCCUAUGGGUUGUAAACUGCUUUUAUAUGGAAAGAAACCCCCGUACGUGUACGGGGCUGACGGUACCAUAUGAAUAAGCAUCGGCUAACUCCGUGCCAGCCGCCGCCGUAAUAC
rnacentral:rRNA from 1 species